rnacentral:lncRNA from 1 species
UGUGGAGGAUUGGAUUCUUCCAUGGAACAUCGACAAUCUUUUCCACAUGAACCUAUCACCGCAUGAAUCUACCACCGAAAAAUGCUAAAUGGUAUGCAUGUGUAGUAAGUAGAUGCUAUACAUGGGCAUUUGAUGUGCCUUAAGAAAACCACUUAGUUUUCUAGAUCUGGGCUUCUGUUUUUGCAGUGGCGAUAGUUUGAAGCGCUCCACGCGUGUUUAGGCCGAGCUUGAUGUAAUUGAGCAAAUAGUCCUUGAAGACGACGGGUUUGUAGAGAGCUGGAUGGGACGAGCUGGGGGGAAGGAGCAAUCGGCAACGAUUUGGCUGGGCCCAUGAGCGUCGCGACUGAAAUCCGGAGCUUCUCCUUGUUUACCACUGCCCGGUACUCCACGCUAUGAUAUCUUCCAUUGCUUAUGAUCACUUACAAAACCAAUGAUUGGAUUCUACUGUUUGCUAUUGUUUGCUGUGUUCACGAUCUAAAAGUGUGCUAGGAGUGAAAAAAACAAUAUGACAAAUGAAAAAAAUACAUUUAUUCCAAACACCUUUGAGCAUUAGCAUGUUGUGUCUUUAGUUGCAUCAAUUUUCAUUGCAAUUUGACCAAUUUUUAACAUUCUUUUGAACUGACUUGCUUCAUCUAUCUUCCCCUAAUAUUUUCAAACUAUGAUUCCUAAAUGAUUAAUGCUUGAAAUUUGAUCUUGGUCUUUUCUACAGUUUAUUUCUUGCUACAAUAUGUACAGAGUUAAACAACAGAAAAUUUCUGAAACACAGAAAAAUCCCAACUCAAACACAUAGGUGUGUUACAAAUUCUCAAACACUUGCUUAUGUACUACUUACAUUGUCAUCCUCCAUAACCCAUGAUCUGAUCCUCCAUGUUAUCAUGUACCUCUAAACCUUAUACCACAAGUUUUGUUAUUUCCAGCUUUAGGCAGCGGGUAGCCAUUAAGUGGUUAUACUAGAUAGUUUAGAAUAACAAGUUGAGAAGUGGUUAGUAAUUAGAAGUUAAAAAUUUUACUUAGUGGACUAAGAGAAGUUAAUGGUGUUUUCCAGUGAGUUAACAAAAAAUGAGGUGAAAGAUUAAUCUUGAGAAAAGAGUUAAAAUAAGUAGUAGAAGAACAAAAAAUAGGAGCAUUAGUAAUAUUUUCAACUCCAGUUUACUUGGCUUAUUUGCUUUUAUGGAUGCUUUUUCAAUUAUUUAAGAAUUUUUUUUUGUUAACUCAAGUUUUUUUUUUCUUCAAUAACUCUAAAAGCUUCUUCACCAACUCAAGUCAUGAACUAAAGAAAAAUCACAUAUAUGAAUGUACUUUCAAGGUUGCAGCCAUAAUAUUAUCAUCCCUAGUAUAAGCCUCUUUUAAUUAAUCUAACAAAUUUAAAUAAGUGCCAAAAAUAUUGAAAUAAUAAUUAUUGAUUUUUUUCUUUUAAAUAAAAAAGUUACUGUAACCUUCUCAAAUACAAAACAAUAUCACUAUUAUAUAUGAUUACGUCAAUUUCAAAUUUAUUUUGGAACCAGUUUUAAUAAAAUAUUAUUUUUAUACCAUUUAUUCUAAUUAAUUAAAAAUAUAGUUUUCCAUGAUAAAACUUAUGCUCUAAAUAUGUAUUAAUAAUAGUAUAGAAUUUCAUAUUUCUUGAAAAAAAUUAGAAAACAUUUAAGAUUAAGUUUUAAAUUAUAAAACAGCUUUAAAAUAUAAGUAAUAAUUUUUCUUUAAAAAAUAGUAUAAGAAAAUGUAAUUUAUACAUUAAAAAUUAAAAUAUUUAUAAAAAUUAUCAUAUUUUAUAUAACGAUACAAUGUUUAAAUAAUAAACUUUGUUACUACCUCUUUUGAUGUGGAUCCAUGCAUUUCCACCAUCAACAAAUCUAUUACAAUAUUAUCUUUAUUGAAGCACAAGAAACCUUGAAAACUAAAAAGAUACACAAAAAAAAUUUAAUUAUUACAAUAACAUUUCAUGGAUUAUAAUGGUUUUCCAAGUCCUUUUCUUUGGUUUAAAAUUAUAAUUUCAAAAUUGAUUUAAGUGUUUGGUAGUUGCAUAUGAAGUUACAAUUGAUUUAUCAAGAUUUUGUAAUCAACUGAUAUUUAUGCGAUAACUCUGAGUUUUGUUUUAGCUAUGGUUAUUAACAAUUUUAUUGGUGGUUUUAUGAGAGCUUCAGAUUUUUCUAGUAAUUUGUAAUCACUUAACAGAAGGUCCAGAUGUUUCACCUAAUUUAUUGUCAAAGGGGAAAAUGGUGUAAGAUUUAUAUAUAUAUAUAGACACACACAUAUAUAUAUAUACAUACAUACAUAUAUAUAUAUUACCUACCUAGGUAAUUUAUUAAUUAUAGUACUAAAGCAUAUGGACUGUUCGUUUAGGAUUGAAUCUGGUCCAUCCAUUUUUGUUAACCUAUUUUUAUAUCCCGAGCUAUAAAUUUUACAGUAUUUAAUUUAAUUAAUUAAAAAAUUAUCUUACAAACACUCCAUAACGAUAAAUAUCAAAAUGGUGAAAGCAUUAGCUAGCACAAUCUCCAAAUACACCCUUUUCCCCAGGCUGAACACCAACACCUUUAAAAGCUACUAUGGUUUGCUGAGGAAAUCAUCCAGAAGCAAUCCCAAGAUGGGCUGUUCUUGAGGAUCAAAGUCUACCACAAAAUCGAUGUUCAAUUGUAGUCCCGCUUGUCGAGACGUUGCAAUCAGUGUGCCGUCCAAGUCAAGGAUUAAAGUCAACUUGUACUGGAAUAUUCCUGUUAUUGUUCAAAUGUCAGGAGUGCUCGAUCUCUCACGCCAAAUGCUGCUCCUCCCGGACAAAUAUCUUAGGAUGCGAUCGAUGUGGUGGAGACGAUGCUCUAUCCCGCUCGCGUCGAUAACUGGAUCUGCCUGCUGGGAUCCUGCCGGAGGACGCGCGGCGUGCCGCUCCCGCUACUAGCCGCGCGGUGGAGCUCAAUCGAGCAGCGCCUUACAUUGUCCUGGAAAUUUACACUCAAGGAGCUCCAUAACUCGAUCGGUACCUCCUCGAGGACCGUGGUGAUCUCGCCGCGCUCCAGAGCCUCGUAGAAUUCCCGGGCGCUUGUAGCUGAUGUGGUACAUUUUCCAGCAAGAAGACACUGAUACAGAAACAUUGGCGCGAUCAAAUUGAGAGCCCGAGAGCGAGAUCUCCCUCAGGGUUCUUCGGUAGGGCUUGGCCUGGGGAUGCCGCUGGACAUCGUGGACGAUGAAUGGUAGCGCCAUACGCUCCCUGAAGAUCGGUCGCUCAAUGGUUCAGAUCAAGAGCAGCAGCUCGGCCGCCGAUCUCGGCCUCAACAUGAUUCAGUGAUCUUCGGGAGUUUUUAGGAAAAUGGAGAACCACGUCAAGGCUUACCUUGAUUUUUUCGUCUGCUUUUAAGCAACUCGAGAUUGACUAUGUGAUUGGUGAAAGCGAGAAAGAGUGGGUGCCAGGAAGACCUGGCCCUGCUGCACUUUUGAGGAUGUUUGGUAUGACCAGCAAGGUCUGUCUUUACUUUUUCAAUCUUUUAUAGGCUCAUCUAGGAAUUUAUAUCAGCUUUACAGACAUGAAUGCGCGAAGCAAACAGGAACAGCAAGACUCCCACUUUGUUACAAACAUAGAGAUGGUCCACAAGCGAAGCUUGAUGUAUUUCCAAUCACAGAGAGCAAGGGCGUUCCCCAAUAUUGUUGUUGCACUUCCAACAAUGGUUGCUUCCUGUAGAGGUACGACAGGAAUUCUUGAAUAAGGCAUCACUUUGGAAGGCUUUGGUCAUGACUACACGCCGACUUUCAACCUGCCAAAUCGAGAUUGAUACACUGUGACUUUGUCAUCUCCAUUGUGAAAUAUUGUGAUAUGUUCAACACACUUUUCUUUGUGCUUUCUGACCCAGAUACAACAAGAUUGUCAGUCAUAGUGCUCCAAGCUUGCAUCGUUUCGUAUCCGUUAUUCAGGUGCGUAUCUUUUAUUUGCUCUUCGAUUCAAUAAGUGACGCCAUUAUGUUGAUUGGGGAUCUUGUGACAGUACGCUCAAAUCUUCCUCUGCAAUCAGAACAUGUUUCAAUACUCAACAUGCAUAUGCGGCCAAACACUUCAACAGGAUUUCCCGACAGAACUUAUUGAUACUUGGUAUGGUGGGUAAAGUUUUUCUUAAAAGCGAAAAUAUAGUACAAUGUGCUUGUGAUUGUGCAGGAUCUUGUCCGAAAAGUGGACCCUAAUUUUAUAUUACAAUCACUUUCUUGCUUUUUUGGGCGUGCAUGUCCAGCAUCACGGUCCAGGCCCCAGAUCCAGCUCGGGCAUCGCAUCGAACAGCCUCUUUGCUCGAUGUAUGUGCCCGGAAGUGGCAUUUGCAGCGAGCAUUGCGGGCGAAACCAUCGUCCACGAAGCUAAGCUAUGGUCGGCAGCGCUUUUGUUAUAGGGACGUUCGAGCUUCUUCGGCAUAGCGGGGUUGGAAGCACGAAGAGCAGGAGGUUUGUGGAGAUAAAGCUCUUGAGCGGCACAUAGUUUUGGCUUCUGCAACGCUGCAGCAUGAUCGUCCAGGCCCAAGCCCUUUUUCGUGAAACUCUGAGUUCCACGAGACAUGAUCACAAAGGCACAUAAUUUGGCUUCUUCAACGCUGCAGCAUGAUCGUCCAAGCCCAAGCCUUUUUUCGUGAAACGCUGAGUUCCACGAGACUUGAUCACAAACGAGCAUUUGUGAGAAGACAUCGUUUGCUUCGUCGACGAGGCCAUGUUUUGCAAUUCUUCGCGGCUUUGACACCAGUGCCCGCAUUCCAUGACACAAGGUUCCAACACGGCAUUUUGUUCCUUACGCUGAUGUAAAGGGUUGCUGCCGUACUUGGCAUAAACGCUGGGCAACGCGCUCCAUGAGACGAGACCGUGAAUCGCCAUGCCGUCAAAGAUGGUGUUUACUUUUUCAGAAUGCCCGUGUUGGGCAUUUGCUUCAAGCAUAACCGCUAAAUGCAUUUUGUGAAACAGGCUUUUGGCCUCUGUGACGAGCCCUGGUUUGGCAUAUGCCGCGAGCAUCGCGUUCCACGAGACGAGAUUCCUCUCAUGUUUCGAAAGUAUGCCGCGAGCAUGACGUCCCAUAUUGAUUUGGAUCACAACGCCACGUAGAACCACGUAGGGCUGGAUAAUGACGUGUCAGAAUAAACUUUCGAACUGAGACCAACUUGGCAUGUCAUUGCUGCGGGGCUUUAUCGCUUUGUGGAGGAUUGGAUUCUUCAACAUUGACAAUCUUUUCCACAUGAAUCUAUCACUGCAUGAAUCCAUCACCGAAAAUGCUAAAUGGUAUGCAUGUAUAGUAGAUGCUAUACAUGAGCAUUUGAUGUGCCUUAAGAAAACCACUUAGUUUUCUAGAUCUGGGCUUCUGUUUUUGCAGUGGCGAUAGUUUGAAGCGCUCCACGCGUGUUUAGGCCGAGCUUGAUGUAAUUGAGCAAAUAGUCCUUGAAGACGACGGGUUUGUAGAGAGCUGGAUGGGACGAGCUGGGGGGAAGGAGCAAUCGGCAACGAUUUGGCUGGGCCCAUGAGCGUCGCGACUGAAAUCCGGAGCUUCUCCUUGUUUACCACUGCCCGGUACUCCACGCUAUGAUAUCUUCCAUUGCUUAUGAUCACUUACAAAACCAAUGAUUGGAUUCUACCGUUUGUUAUUGUUUGCUGUGUUC